rnacentral:rRNA from 1 species
AACGAACGCUGGCGGCAGGCUUAACACAUGCAAGUCGAACGCCCCGCAAGGGGAGUGGCAGACGGGUGAGUAACGCGUGGGAAUCUACCCAGAUCUUCGGAACAACUGAGGGAAACUUCAGCUAAUACCGGAUACGCCCUACGGGGGAAAGAUUUAUCGGUUCUGGAUGAGCCCGCGUUGGAUUAGCUAGUUGGUGGGGUAAUGGCCUACCAAGGCGACGAUCCAUAGCUGGUCUGAGAGGAUGAUCAGCCACACUGGGACUGAGACACGGCCCAGACUCCUACGGGAGGCAGCAGUGGGGAAUAUUGGACAAUGGGCGAAAGCCUGAUCCAGCCAUGCCGCGUGAGUGAUGAAGGCCUUAGGGUUGUAAAGCUCUUUCAGUGGGGAAGAUAAUGACGGUACCACAGAAGAAGCCCCGGCUAACUUCGUG